GGAUGCGUCGCUCUGCAUCUGCAUCCAAAAAAACGGGUCAAACCAAUUCAACCAACCCGAUUUCUUAUUCUCCCUCCGAUCUCUUUCGCACCGCUUCAAGUAAGGCAUCUUCAAAGGAGAUGGAACGGAUUGACAACCAGUUUUAUUUGUAUGCCAAUAUGUCGUCUGGUAUGAUUGACCCAGAAGGGAUUGAAACUCUAUGUUCUGACAUGGAAGUUGAUCACACAGAUGUUAGGAUCUUGAUGCUUGCUUGGAAAAUGAAAGCCGAAAAACAAGGAUACUUUACCCUGGAGGAAUGGCGAAGAGGAUUAAAAGCACUGAGGGCUGAUACUGUAAGUAAAUUAAAGAAGGCCCUACCGGAGCUAGAAAAAGAGGUCAGGAGGCCAUCAAACUUCGAGGAUUUCUAUUCCUAUUCAUUCUGCUAUUGCCUGACAGAGGAGAAACAAAAGAGUAUUGAUACUGAAAGCAUAUGUCAACUGCUGGAUCUUGUUUUAGGAUCCCAAUUCCGUGCGCAGGUUGACUAUUUUAUUGAGUAUUUGAAGAUUCAGAGCGAUUAUAAGGUCAUAAAUUUGGAUCAAUGGAUGGGCUUUUUUCGAUUCUGCAAUGAGAUAAAUUUCCCAGACCUCAGUAAUUAUAAUCCUGAUCUUGCUUGGCCGUUGAUCCUGGACAUCUUUGUUGAAUGGAUGCAGGCGAAGCAGAGCUAAACUCUAAUUAGCUUUGCUCAACUUGAUUCUCAGAUUUGAACUCCAUUCGGUACUAAAACAGGAAUAUUCGAGUUGCAGAACCAUGUUUCACCAGCUGGUCCUUUAUAUCUUUAUACAUCAAAACAUGAAGGUCUUCCCCAGAACAUACCUUCCAAAAUUAUUUUCAUGUCACAAAUAUGCAGAAGACAAUCUCAAUAUAUUGAAUUGUAUUUCUGUCUUGAUAUUCAAAACUAUUGGAUUUUGAUGUUAUAUUACGAAGAAAUUUAUUUACCAGAUUAAAAAGAUGUUAAAUUUGUCUGAUUUUUAUUUUGAUUUAUCUCUUUUAUAUCAAUUCCGUCCCUUUUUUCCAAGAAGGUAAAGUAUUUCUUGCAUAGAAUUUCUUUGCGGAACUAGCAACAAGUUAAUACAUGCCAAAAUCUCCCUGCAACUGGUUCCCCUGUCUCCCCAGUCUGUUUUGACAGGUAUUGGCUUCAUUAUUAGCAUGCGAGCUGAUGAUGCUAAGCACCUGCAACCCUUGAGGUUCAAGGAUGAUCCUUAAAGGAUGGAUUGUAGCAACAAUUUUCUCAUUAUCACAUCCCCCCUCUUUAAAAAGUUGAUCCAUCGCCCAAAUUGGUAAUAUUUCUUUCAUACAGCCCUGUCAAGAUCAACCGUUGUCUGUCAUAGACAACUCUUUAUGUGCCUAUAUUGACCUGUCGUUCGCAACCAGCAUUUUAAGUUA